GGAAGGGAUCAUUAACGAAUAUCUAUGGCGUUGGUUGUAGCUGGCUCCUAGGAGCACUGUGCACGCCCGUCAUUCAUAUCAUCUUUCCACCUGUGAACCAUGUGUAGGCCUGGAUACCCCUCGCUUUGGCAACAAAGCGGAUGCAAGGAUUGCUGUGUCGACAAGGCCGGCUCUCUUUGAAUUUCCAGGUUCUAUGUCUUUUACACACCCCAUUUGAAUGAUUUAGAAUGUAGUCAAUGGGCUUUCAUGCCUAUAAAAAACUAUACAACUUUCAGCAACGGAUCUCUUGGCUCUCGCAUCGAUGAAGAACGCAGCGAAAUGCGAUAAGUAAUGUGAAUUGCAGAAUUCAGUGAAUCAUCGAAUCUUUGAACGCACCUUGCGCUCCUUGGUAUUCCGAGGAGCAUGCCUGUUUGAGUGUCAUUAAAUUCUCAACCUCACCAGUUUUGUAACGAGACAGGUGAAGGCUUGGAUGUGGGGGUUUUGGCAGGCUGCCUCAGUGCUGGUCUGCUCCCCUGAAAUGCAUUAGCGAGCUCAUAUUGAGCUUCCGUCUAUUGGUGUGAUAAUUAUCUACGCGUGGAUUGGACUCAUGCUUGCUUCUAACCGUCCGCAAGGACAAUUUACUUGACCAAUUUGACCUCAAAUCAGGUAGGACUACCCGCUGAACUUAAGCAUAUCAAUAAGCGGAGGAAAAGAAACUAACAAGGAUUCCCCUAGUAACUGCGAGUGAAGCGGGAAAAGCUCAAAUUUAAAAUCUGGUGGUCUCUGGCCAUCCGAGUUGUAAUCUAGAGAAGUGUUACCCGCGUCGGACCGUGUAUAAGUCUCCUGGAAUGGAGCGUCAUAGAGGGUGAGAAUCCCGUCUUUGACACGGACUACCGAGGCUUUGUGGUAUGCUCUCAAAGAGUCGAGUUGUUUGGGAAUGCAGCUCAAAAUGGGUGGUAAAUUCCAUCUAAAGCUAAAUAUUGGCGAGAGACCGAUAGGCGAACAAGUACCGUGAGGGAAAGAUGAAAAGAACUUUGGAAAGAGAGUUAAACAGUACGUGAAAUUGCUGAAAGGGAAACGCUUGAAGUCAGUCGCGUUGGCCGGGAAUCAGCCUUGCUUUUGCUUGGUGUACUUUCUGGUUGACGGGCCAGCAUCAGUUUUGACCGGUGGAAAAAGUUCAGGGGAAUGUGGCAUCUUCGGGUGUGUUAUAGCCCUUGUUCGUAUACAUCGGUUGGGACUGAGGAACUCAGCACGCCGCAAGGCCGGGUCUUUGACCACGUUCGUGCUUAGGAUGCUGGCAUAAUGGCUUUAAUCGACCCGUCUUGAAACACGGACCAAGGAGUCUAACAUGCCUGCGAGUGUUUGGGUGGAAAACCCGAGCGCGUAAUGAAAGUGAAAGUUGAGAUCCUUGUCAUGGGGAGCAUCGACGCCCGGACCUGACGUUUUCUGACGGCCCUGCGGUAGAGCAUGUAUGUUGGGACCCGAAAGAUGGUGAACUAUGCCUGAAUAGGGUGAAGCCAGAGGAAACUCUGGUGGAGGCUCGUAGCGAUUCUGACGUGCAAAUCGAUCGUCAAAUUUGGGUAUAUGGGCGAAAGACUAAUCGAACCAUCUAGUAGCUGGUUCCUGC
rnacentral:misc_RNA from 1 species